rnacentral:sRNA from 1 species
GGCCGGGCUGACUCCGCUUCUGGGCGGCCGGGCCUCCGCGAGCACCGGCUCGACUUCGGAGUCUGCGGGCCCAGCCAGGGGUGCCCGGUUCCCACCCCUCUCCCCGAGCGGCGUCCCCGUCGGGGUCGAACCUCCCCCGCGACAAGCGCCCAGCCGCCUGUUCCCCCAGGCCCUGCCUGCGGACCGCCCUGGGAACGGCGUCUGGGAGCCCCGAGGGGCUGGCGGGACUCGGGGCCCGGGCCAUGCGGCAGCCGCCCCCGCCCCUCCGCGACCACCCCCGGCCCAAGCGGGAGCCGCAGCGGCGUUUCUGCUCCUCGCUGCGCCGGCGACCCCGGACCCGGCACCCCUGACCCCUCGCGCUGCCUGCGGCCCCGCGCCGAGGCCUGCCCCGGGAGAGACCGUCCAUGCCGUCCAAGGCGGAGAAUCUGCGGCCCUCGGAGCCGGCCUCGCAGCCGCCGGAAGGGAGGACGCUCCAAGGACAGCUUCCCGGCGCUCCGCUGGCCCAGCGCGCGGGGUCCCCACCCGAUGUUCCGGGCUCCGAGAGCCCCGCGCUUGCCUGCAGCACUCCGGCCACGCCCAGCGGCGAGGACCCGCCAGCCCGAGCAGCACCCAUCGCCCCGCGGCCCCCCGCCAGGCCUCGACUGGAGCGAGCCCUGUCCCUGGACGACAAGGGCUGGAGGAGGAGGCGUUUUCGAGGCAGCCAGGAGGACCUGGAAGCCCGGAAUGGGACCAGUCCCUCCAGGGGCUCAGUGCAGAGCGAGGGCCCCGGGGCCCCCGCCCACAGCUGCUCCCCGCCCUGCCUGAGCACCUCCUUGCAGGAAAUCCCCAAGUCCCGCGGGGUCCUGAGCAGUGAGAGAGGGAGCCCGUCCUCGGGGGGUAACCCUCUCUCUGGGGUGGCCAGCAGCUCCCCGAACCUCCCGCACAGAGACGCCGCCGUGGCGGGGAGCUCGCCCAGGCUGCCCAGCCUGCUGCCCCCGCGCCCACCGCCUGCCCUGAGCCUGGACAUCGCCUCCGACUCCCUGAGGACAGCAAACAAGGUCGACUCGGAUCUUGCCGACUACAAGCUCCGCGCGCAGCCGCUCCUGGUGCGGGCCCACAGCAGCCUGGGCCCCGGCCGGCCGCGGAGCCCCCUGGCCUGCGACGACUGUUCCCUUCGCUCGGCCAAAUCCUCCUUCAGCCUCCUGGCGCCCAUCCGCAGCAAGGACGUCCGCAGCAGGUAGGGCCUGGCGGGUGCAGCCCCUGCGCCGCCUUCGUUGUAGUGUUCGGGCUGCUGGAACCUCGUGAGACCGUUCCCAUCAGCAGCGUUUAAGAUGCCUAACCGGAAAGAACGAAGCGGGUCUCCCGCAGCCACCCCAUCUCCCAGCCCCACCCCACAGCAGCGCCCUUCCCAUCUCUCCCGAACUUCCCAGAACUUUUCCUGUGUGUUUCAGAACCAUUCGUGGGCGUGACGUUGUGUUAAGGUAGACAGGAUGGCAUCCUGCAUACAAUUACGUAUCUGGCGCUUUUUCUUGUUUAGUCUUGGGAAAUGUCGUCAAUGUAUACCAUCCGCCCCUUUGGUUGUUUUUGUUUGUUACUCUCUCUGUCGCCCAGGCUGGAGUGCAGCGGCGCGAUCCCGGCUCACUGCAACCUCUGCCUCCUGGGUUCAAGGGAUCCUCCUGCCUCAGCCUCCUGAGAAUCUGGGAUUACAGGCGCCCGCCACCACACCCAGCUAAAUUUUGUAUUUUUAGUAGAGGCGGGGUUUCGCCGUGUUGGCGAGGCUGGUCUCGAACUCCUGGCCUCGGCCUCCCAAAGUGCUGGGAUUCCAGGUGUGGGCCACUGCGCCCGGCCUGCCCCCUUUGUUUUUUUCUGCGGCAAGAGGCCCCAGAUGUGUUGAGGCUACUUUCGUUUAGCCACUUGCUCAUGAGGAACAUUUUGGUGGGCUCCAGCUGUUGCUGGAAGGAACUGCAGCUGAACCCAUGACCUCUCCCAAGCCUGGUCUUGUCUUGGGGUCUCAGUCUGGGGGCCUGUCCUGCGAUGCUCCCACUAUGACUUGGCAGAGUCACCUGCACCCUUCUUUUCAUCCCCCCACCCCACUGCCAUGGUGCCCAAGUCUUGUCUGUCGGCCGCGGCGGGAGGCAGGACAGGUGUGAGAAGGGAGAGGUGUGAGGUGGUUUCUGUGUUGGUGUCCUGGGGCCGUUGUAACUCAUGACCACAGACUGGGAGGCUUGCAACAGCAGAGCUGGACUCUCUCCCAGUUCUAGAGGCCAGAAGUCUAAAAUCAAGGUGUGGCCAGGCAGCCUCUCUCCAGAGGCUCAGGGGAGGGUCCUCCCGCCGCCUCCCGCUCCUGGGGCCCCACUUGUUCCUUGGCUUGUGGCCGCAUGCUCCAGUCUCUGCCUCUGUCUCUAUGUGGCCUCUUCCCUGUCUCUCUGUGUUCCCCUCUCUUUUUAUAAGGACACCAGUCAUUGAAUUUACUGCCUACCGUAAAUCCAGGGUGGUCUUAUCUCGAGAUCCUUAAUUAAACACGUUUGCAAAGACCCCGUUUCCGAAUAAGGUCCCAUUCCAAGGUUCUGGGGCUCUGGGGGUGGACAUGGCUUUGGGGAUCACUGUUCAGCUCACCACAGUCCCCGAAGGUAGCCUCACUUCCCUGCGUCUGUGGUGCACCAGCAGGCCGGUGGGCUCAGGCCUGGAGUGAGGGCCUGUGCCUGGCGCCCCCACCAUACUCUCCUCCUGUCAUGGAUGGAGCAGGUGCGGUCACAUACAGGGCAAGACUGCUGCUUUUGUUAAAAUAAUUCACCGCAGGGCUUCUCGUAAAGAGUGAGAUUUCUUAGUGCAUCUAAAGCAUCACAUUUUAAAAUUAGAUCCGGUUGACGUAGAUACACCUGUUAGAGAAAAGGACAGUCGUGUCUCAAAUUUGGACCCUCAAGUCGUUGUUUUCAAGCAACCAGGAAACGAGGGUUGACGUGGAUCCUUUAACCCAGUUCUGCUGCCUAAAAGCUUCCCAUUUCCAGACCUCCGGUCUGUUCUAGAAUAGGGGUCGGCGCACUCUUUCUGUCAAGGGGGAGACACAGACAGUGGGGACCAAAGGGCGUCUGUGUGCCAGUGAGUCUAUUAGGGACAUACAUUGGAACCUCGCUCUUUUUUCUUUCUCUGCCGUUCCACACAGUAAAACCCAUUCUGAGUUUGCGGGCCGCGUGUGCACAGGCUGGGUCCGCCCUGUUUGAGAAUGGCUGCUGGCUUUUACCAGUGCCUUGGGGCUGCCAGGGCGGGUUAGGGGGCCUUUCCCCACCCAUUCCUUUUGCUCAGAGAGCUGGCCCAGGCUGUGGCAGCCGGCCUGAGCGUCCUCAUGCAGAAGCUGUGCAGUGUCCUGGCCCUGGAUGGGGGUCUGAGGCAGCUCUGCCCCUGCCCGUGUCUAGACACAGGAUGGCUGUGAGGGCCGCCCCUGGCCUGCUGUUACUAACCAUGCUCUGGACAGAGCUGGGCAGACUGACCACGUGGCUGCUGGUGCGGACAUGAUGGGCGCUGCCGGCAAAGGGGCUGUGGGCCUCCAGCCUGGUGACCGAGGAGCCCCUGCUGGGCCCGGGAUCACUUGACAGGGGUGCCCACAGGAACGCUCUCUGUCCCGAAUGACCACUGUGUGAACACAGCUGUCCCAAACGGGAUUGUCAACAGUUUUAGGGGUGAGGUAGCGAGGUUCCUCCCUGCUGACAUGAUUUAAUCGUGUCCAGCGAAGCUUGGUGAGCUGCAGCCAGGGUUGAAGAAGUUCUCGCGGGAGGUCACAGGAAUCUGGCACUAUGCUCUCGUGUCCCCUUGUGGAAGGGAACCAUGUCAGAAGACGGCGUAUCCAGAAGGAGCAGCACGCGUGUUACUUAGAGAGGGAGCGGGGAGGACGGCUGGCAAGCCUAGCCCACGGCGUUUCUGUAUAGUCGGCGAGCUGAGAACGGGUUUUACAUUUCCAAAUGGUUGGAAAAAGUCAAAACCAUUCUAAUGAUGUUUCAUAGUACAAGAAAAUUGUAAAAUUCAGAUUUCAGUGUCUGUAAAUCAAGCGUCUCGGGCACACGGCUGCGCCCCUUGUGUCCACAUCCCCUGGUGGCUCUUGCACCACCGUAGCAGAGCCCACGGCGACAGACACUGGAUGUCCCACGGAGCGGCAGGCGUGUGCUGUUGCCUCUUGACGGGUUACCAGCCCUCGUGGCAGAAGGUGCUGAGUGUGGGGAGGGGCAGGGAUGUUGCUGUGCCACACGGUGUUUAACCAUUUGUGUGCACCGCCGUAUUAAAAUCUGAAAGCAUCAGCCUGGACAACGUGGCGAGACCCUGUUUCUACAAAAAUAAAAGAUAAGUAAAAAACU